rnacentral:tRNA from 1 species
GCUCUGGGAGAUAGCUCAGUUGGUACAGCAUGAGACUCUCAAUCUCAGGGUUGUGCGUUCAAGCCCCACGUUGGGCA